AUUCUAUUGGUGAAAAAUGCCAAGAGGGAGAGAGAAGUGUGACCUGUGGAUGGAGGAAUGCAGUGUGGGGUCUACCAGGAAGUCUAGGAGAAGUAAAGGGGUUUGGAAGACAUCUAGUUAACCCAGUCUUGCCCAUCAGUGAUCUACUCAUAUAAUCAAAAUUGUUUCUGUUUUUUUAAGACCCUUUGGGAGAAGAAUGGAGAGAAGAUCCAGGAUUUUUCCCAAAGAAAUAGCCCACUUCCCUCGAAAAGGUCUCCAAAACAACAGCUCGUCAGUGCUGUUACCGUGUCCUCCACAUCAGAUGUCCCCACUGUGGGAACAAAGCCAUUCGUCCAGGAUUGACCAGAUGCCCCACCUCGGCUACCAGGCCAGAGAUCCUGAAACAUCAACCCCUCCCUUCCUCAGGACUGCAGAGAGAGAAUCCUCGCCUCAGGUCUUCCAGCAUCUCCCCGAAGAGUCCCAGCUGCCCCAGGAUGACCACAAGACAAUGGCUGUCCUGUUGCCCUACCUUCACCACCGAGGUCUGGCCAAACCAUCGCCCCGCCACAAAUACCGCGCCUCGCCGUCAGUCAUGCCUUUCCCUCGGUCUAACUUCAGGGCCAAGAAAACAGUUCUGAAGUUAACGGCUGAUGAACAGUGUACGGUGUCUCCCCCUCGCUCCCCAAACCGCUGAGGCCAUCACACCCCUUGGCCAGAAGGCCGAAGUUCUCUUAUAUGAGGGGGACGAGUCCAGUCCGAGAUCUGCAUAUAGACCUAGCCUAGACUACCAGACAGGGCCGACGCCGGGGCCGCUGACCACUAUGCAGCAGACCAAAGCGUCCCUGCGGCACAGACGACACCACGUCAGGGCCUCCACUCUGCUGCUGGGGUUCACCAAGAAGGGAGACAGACCCGUUUCAGCCUCUUCCCAUGGUCUUAAAGAUCGGUCCAGGGCCACAGUUUUCAAGCCACCAGACCUGGCCAGAGUGUUGAAAGAAUCCCACUCGGAUCUCUGCCCCAAAGAAAUAAUAUCCCUGCUAAGAUACGCUAACUCCGAGUACAGCUUGACUCCAUCGUUAUCGGAUCAGGACCAGAGUCCCGAUCAGGAGGCGGAGGAAAUGCAAGCUCCCCCGGCCGAAGACGCGUCUCUGAUUGAAGUAGAAGCAACAUCUCUAAGGGGAGACUACCAGACUACCGCAGCAGCAGGUCUAGAUCACGGAGUGACACCUCCACCGAGUGUGAAGCUCCAAGACCUGAUUCACUGGAGCGCACCAACGCCUGCCUCUGAGGCUUUACCAGACCCAAAUGUCCUUUUCACACUUCAAGCAGAACAAGAAAAAAUGGCAGAGAGAAUGGAACACCAGGCGAUAAUCCCAGCAGGGCAAGACUACCUAGGGGAAGUGGAACAAGAAAUAGACCUGGACUAGGCCACAUUUUUCACAGGUCAGGAUCAUGGGCCAUUGGACCUCAGGAUAAGAUUUUAACCUGGUUUCGACUACUAAACUACAAUGCUGACGGGCAAGGAUCCUCAGAUACUACCUCCUAUGGCUUUAGACCCACAGAGCAAAAUACUUCCUGAGUCAACAGGUUACAUCUCUAAUAAAUCCUCAUCACUUGGCCA
rnacentral:lncRNA from 1 species